GCGAAGAAAGAAUUGCGAAAUAUCUCUUUCAAAAAGUGUAUAGUUUUCUGAACACGUGACCUAUAUGCAUAGUGUACAUCCGGGAGUGCGGGACUUAGUUUUGUGACCGCUGAUGUCCGAAGCGGUCACAAAAUGUUUCCGAUUAGGGUGAAUUUACCUAAAAAAAUACCGUAAAUAAAGGCUAUCAAAAUUUAGAAGUUCAAUUGACAAAGACUUUGCGAAUUUUGAAACAACAAUCAUGAAUAUAAUUGAAAUAAUUUUCCUGUCGUUGAUCCCGGAUGAGAAUUAACCAUAACAUCAUCGAAUUCUUCAUUAAAGUUAGCCAAUCGAGUCGACUGUUUUGAUGAUAAGACAGUCUUAAAAUGUUAUUAAUUAUUAUCGUUAUUAUUUAAAUAAAAAUCUCUCUAACUGCCCGAAUGUAUGCCUUAUCCGUCUCAUUUAUUUAAAAGAAAUUGAAUUAAAUAAAGCGUUGGAUUAAUGUGUUGUUUUUUUAAAAUCAAUAACUGUACCAUAAAUCAGCAGCGUGUAAUCUACUUGAAAACUGAAACAGGAUAUUUGUUCGACUACUUUUAGUUGCGUAAUAAACUUAUAUGAAACAAUGCCUUUAAGUUUUAGUAGAGUAUGCUUUUUAUGAAUUGCCUCUAUUAAAUAUCUGGCAUGCCAGAUAUUUAAGUCACAAAUACCAGUGGUUAAAAAUUGAUGAAUUAAAAAGAAAAUUAAUUAGCAGAUCGAUUAAAUUUAAACUAGUUUUCUCUUGACAGUUUGCAUCAGACUUUUCCAAACAUUAAAAAAAAUACAUAUAUAUAUAUAUAUAUAUAUUUCGAUACAUUUUUUGUAUCGUCAGUUCGAAUUCUAAGAAUAUUUUUAUGGAUGUAAAUAUUUACGCCCACUCGUUGAAAUCGUAAUUUGAAUAGGCUAUAGGAAUACGAACAACAGACACACCUUAAUUUCAUUAAUUAUAUCUAGCAAUUCCGAAAUAUGAUACGACCAGAAAGUUCUAGCCUAAUAUAUUAUAUUCGAAAUAAAACGUAAUCAAAUGUCGAUGUAUCCGAUUCUAUUAUAAAUUUCGACCUUUAUAGAAUUGACAAAACAAAGUUCGUUACGCUCGAAUUUAAAGACACUGGAAAAUCCAGACAAAACAACAGAUGUUUUAAAAUCUGUUUAUCCCGUGAUUCAAUUCUAAAGGGUAUUUGAUAAAUUAUAGAUUUUUGGAUAAUGAAAGUAAAUUAAUAACGAAAUAUAUCUGGAUUGACUUAUCAGCGCUAUUUUUGAAUUUGAUGUGGAUAAGAUAUUGUUAUUUAAAUGUUCAAUCAAUCAAUUAUUUAUAACUCUCAAUGAAUUUAAUACCCAUGAAGAUCGACUAAUGUAAUUUUAUAACUUGAGUUUAUGUUAAAGAAUUCUGUUUUAUUUAAAAAUUAUUAUGAAAAUAUUUAUAUAACCAUU